AUUAUUUCAAUACAUAUUUUAUAUUUGUAUUUAGAAACAUUGAUUUUUUCUCUUCCCCUUUUAAUAAACUUAAGUCUGGCCGGUAACCACAUGUGUGGAUUCUAAAGGUUGCCUAACCCCUUUCCUUCAGAAUAAUUUGAACCCUUACUUGGAAUCUAAAAUGGUUUUUGCAGAUUAAAUAAAGUCACACUUGUUAAACAAUAAAUAGCUUUCCUAUGUUUCCUUUAAAAUUAGGUGGUGACUCUAUACAAAAUUAAUUCUUUUAGAGUCCAUCAUGUCGUGUUCAUUUUAACCUUAGGUAAAAAUAUGGUAUGAUAGGAGACACAAUACAAAUAUGUAGAACCAGGAUCAAUAAGAUAUUAUACUGGUUGAGUGUGAGCAUGAGUACCUGCAACAUCUCUCUGCAUAUGUGUAGUAGCUUAACUAGAACCAGAAUCUCCCAUAGGAUGAAACUAGCAAUGUGCCCUCUUUUACCAUAAGUAUAACAAGGACCACCAACUCCAAAACAUCGCCCACUAUGAUUCCUGCCAUAGUUAGAACAUUUUAGAUAUUAUUCGAACUGAAAGGAACCACUACCCUUUCUCUGCAUUUGCUACUAACCUUGUCUAGCUGGAUAAUUAUUCCUUGAAGAUUGGCCCACUGACUUCGACUUCAUAGGCCUAGACUGUCCACGAUGAAAAUCACUCUUGCUCCCAGAUGGAGCACCACUAAACCCACCUGAAUUACGUGCCUUUUUAUUUUCUUAAUUUAUUCCUUUCUAUCUCAUAAUAAGACUCAGAACAGAGAGUAGUAUCAACCACCUCAGCAUAGAAUCCAUUAUGCAUAUCCCAUAUCACAGGACCACGAUAACGAGCCCCAAGUUCAUCCACAAAUCAUCUUACUUUCUCUCUUGAGUCUGUAGCAAAAAAUAGAACAUACCUGGAUAAUUCAGUGAACUUACCUUCGUACUCACUAACUGUCAUAGAUCCCUGUUGCAGGUCAUUAAAUUAGUGUCUCAUGUCAUCUUGUUUUCUCAAUGGAAUAAAUAUGUCCAUAAACAUGGCUGAAAAAUCUGACCAAGUAAUCGGUGGUAGACGUGCUUGUCUAUCUCUCAAAAUGGAAGUCCACCAUGCCUUGAGAGACCCUGAGAAUAGGAAAGUGAUAAAUUCUACACCAUGAGUCUCCUUCAACCCCAAAGUAGUAAGCAUCUUCUCACAGCGAUCAAUAAAUUUUUAAGGCUCAAUAGAAGAUGGUGUAGCAUCAAACUCUGUCAGCUUAAGAUCCAUGAUUUCUUAUGAUCUUUGGGUUGCCCCACAACUGCAACCGAAUGAUCAAUCGGUUGAGGUGUCUGAAUAGACCCAACAUUUAAUUGAACAUUCGUUUGCAAAGUAGCCUGAGAAACUGGAACUCGACCCUAAUUAGGCACUAUUGCCUCAAGUACAUUCAACAAUCUUACCACGGCAUCUACAGGCAAUGUAACUGUAGGUACAAUAACUGGAACUAUAGUUGGAGCAUCCUGAUCAACUUGAUCCUGCACUUGCUCAGAAGCAAAAACUUGAGGCUGGCCCCCAUUACCAACUUCAGGUUGAGGACAGGUCUGUGUCCUAGUCUGAGGCCUAGUCGGAUAAGACCCAACUCGACCACCACCACAAGUAGAAUCAUGUCCAGCACCACAUCCGAGAGGUGCAUUAGAUCGACUAGCGGAUGAAGAACCACUUCUCUUAACCAUCUGCAAAAUAAUAUUUAAAUGUUAGACUUAAUUCAACUCAACGCACGAGCAAUGACUGAAAAUGAAAAAUCUUCCUAAAUGUUCAGUAGCCUCAAGGUCAUAAGUAGUGGGCGCCUACAUACCCAUGAACAAGAAUCUACUAAACACUACUCAAUGACCCGGGACCUACAACCUAGACUUUGAUACCAACAUUGUCACAUCCCAAAAUAACCCCUAGGCAUGACUAACUCGUGCUAAGACCACUUGCCGGGAGAACCAAUUCCCCAUACAUUCACAAUGUCUAUAAACACUGGGAUAAAACCAUAUGCAACUCCAAAUGAAUGAAAUAAUCAUUAUUGCAAAGUACUCCAACUAGAUAUCGUACAACGAUUAAUGAAAACAACAAUAGGUUAGAUAAUAAAUUUCUAGCCCAAAUCCCACACUAACAACAAUAGGUUAGAUAAUAAAUUUCUAGCCCAAAUUCCACACUAAGACCAUGAAGCAUUUAAAUAGAGUUACAUGAGUUCAACUUUCGGGCACGCAAGACAAUGAAAAAAAGACUUGGAAGUCUAUCACUAAGAAAAACCAAUGCGUAUAACAGUUGGUACAACUAGUGCCUUUAAUGGCUUAUCUGUAUGCCAGAAACUGUAAAAUAAGGCAUUUAAGGGUUAUGAGAACACUUCCGAAAACUGGGUCUUAAGCCUCACCAACAUUGUUUGGAGCAUUCAACGGGACUACAAGAACCUACUUUGAUGGAAUGAAGGAAUUGGAUACUUCCGCAUCUUACCCUUCAGGGGUCGAUCAAGUUGAAAGCCACUUGCAUACGUUUCCUAACACAUACUACCUCAGCUAUGCUACCAGACGUACCUGCAAAGUCAUGGGUAUAACAGUCCCUUCUGGCAUUCUCGAGAUGCAUCUGCUGUUCAUAAGAAUCCUGCAAAUGAGUCUAUGGCGCCAUCUUCCUAAUGUCCCCCUUCCAUAUAAGGGCUAUAGUUCAUCGAGUACUUGCAUAGAUGAGGAUUGCUGGGACAAUGAUGGUGCACUCAACAAUAUAUCUAUGACACAUCCUCAUUUCCCAGUCGAACACCCAAGUCACCUGGUGGUUAAAGAUUCUGAUUGCCAGCCUUUUGUACCAGGCAUCUGAAUCAGGUACUAUAAGAUUGUCGAGGGUGAUCACAUUCCUUUCAUUGUGAAUCGUGAAAGAGUUGGAGUUCAAUCUGAUUUGAUCUACGACAGCAUAUUUGAGCGCUGUAGCAAACAUGCCUUCAGAAAGAAUCCGACGAUGCCAAACCAUAUAGUUUAAUCGUUAGCAAGAACUUUCUAAAUAGAGGUUAAAAAGAAAAGGGAAGCUGCGAUAUCAAAUACUCUUCUGGUUUGUUGCCCCGUUUUUUCUUCAAACAAAAGUCUAUUUUCCCUUUGAAAUGUAAAUACGAAUACGAAAAAAAGUCCACCAUCCUUAGUGUGUAGGCUUGCAGAGGAAAAAUGUGAAUUAAGGAUUCAUGGCUCACUGGUCUCUUUUAAUAUCAAAAACAUAAAGAUAGACUUUCAUAAGAAUAUAUUAGAGAGGCUUCUGUUUUAAUCAUGUGAUGAUCUGCAGCAUCUCAAACCUUUACAUGUUGCAAGAAAAAAAACUGGUGGUUGUGCAUGAUCGUGGUUAUUUUUUCUGAUUGUAUCAUGUGAAGAUUCUAGUAGUUGUAUUAUUGUGUUGCUUUGGACGCUAACUGAGCUCAAGAUUUGACCACUCUACAGCUAGUGGAAUGGAUUGGUGUUUAAUUUAAAUUCAUUAGUCAGUCUAACUGGACAAGUGAAAAGCGAAAGUCAAGAUUACGUGAAACCAGGUGUAAUGUGUGAAAGGUCACUGAGUCAUCACAAAGGGGAGUAGCAUUGUUUUGUGCAUCCAACAACUGAGAUUUUAUGGAGAAGGGUAGAAUUGUGUAGUAGCAGAUUCGUAGGUCAAUAAAUCAUUGAAGCUUUGAGUUGUUUAGGCUCGGUGAGGAGUGUUCUUUCUUCUAUGCUCUCUUUGGAACAACGGACCAUUCAUCUCGGCCCAUAGAUAUAGGUCAAUUAACCAAGUCAUGUUAAAUUUGUCUCUUUUGAUAUAUUUCUCGUUUCUGGUUUGACUUAGUGUUGGAGCUUGGGGUUAUUUCAGGACAAGUUGAAAACAAGAGAUGCAGAGGCCAGUUGUGUGUUUCAAAUCUUCAAAUGCUUGAUACAUAAAGCUCGGGUUUUGUCCACAAAAUUUGAGAAUUGGCCUGGCCUUAGCACAUGCAUUAUCAUGGGCAGCACAUGUAUCGUCAUUCAGUUGCACAUGCCUCUUUUUUCUUGGUUGCAAAUUCAAACCAUCCUCUACCAGAACUCACAUGAAAAGCUGAAAAGAAUAUUUGAACUUUGAAGGGAGCCUUAACGCAACAAUAGUUUUACUUGCUAUUUUGUAGAUCACUUAUUUGAAACGUAGAUAUAACUUUUUUCGGAUGUUGUCGUUCUCUUCUCUUAUUGCAAUUGUUGUAGAACAUUUUUUUUAGUUCUUAAUUAUUGAGGAAGGGUGGGGUAAAUGAUAUGAGAUUAGCACUUGGUACAGGCAAACCUUGUUUUGGUUAAUAUUGAAUUUGGGUUUUUAGUGAGGAGAUGAAA